GCUGGGUGUGGUGGUGCAUACCUGUAAUCCUAGCAGCUUGAGAGGCUGAGGCAGGAGGAUCACGAGUUCAAAGCCAGGCUCAGCAAAAGUGAGACCCUAAGCAACUCAGUGAGAUACUGGCUCUA
rnacentral:sRNA from 1 species